GCAUCUCUUGUAUGCAACUGCAAUUCUGGGCUGUUGUGGAUUGGUUUGAAUGAUGUGUAUCCUGCUUUUGUUUUAACCAGAUAAUGAUGAUUCUGACGUGGAGAUUCAGGAGGAUGAAGGCUCUGACAGUGAAGUGGAGGACAGGCAGCUCGGGAAGCAGCACGUGGCCUUGGAGAUGCUAGUGCCAGGAAGAGCUGGUGCCCGGAUUGUGGGAACAAUGCAGGGUGGAGACACAGAGGAAGAUGAGGAGUCGGGGGAUAGUGAGAUUGACCUGGAUGAUGACGAAGAUGAGGAGGAGGAUGUGGAAGAUGACAGCAUGGAAAUCUCCCCGAGCAAAUCCAGCCACCGAGCAAAGAAACCAGAGCCUCUGGAGGAAAGCGAUAAUGACUUCUGACCCUUCAGCAGCAGGACCAGGAGGCACCUUGAAAUGCAGACUUUGGAGAGCACGUGGGCCAGGAGCUAAUAGCACCCUGCCUUCUGAAAAGUGCUCGUCAGCAUGAGUUCAGGAGUUGGUAAAUAAUGUUCAUUAAACUUGAAAAUUAAACUUGGAUUGCCAGUCUUGUGACUGCAAAGUAUGAGCAGUUUAUCCAUAACGAGAAUCACAGUAAUGUGGAGUGCUGUUAUUUCCAUAAUUGCAUUAGAACUGGCCCUCAUGCACUGCAGCGCCAGAAGUCUCACUCCAGUGAGCAUCGUGUGCUUGAUUUCCCUGUGCUUUAUUAUAACCAAACAGAUUUUUUUUUUGCCUUAAUAAAGCUGGAUAAAAGCUGCUCUGGGAA